GCCACUCCCACAAACGUCUACGACCGCAUCUACAUAUUUUUGCAUGCUUACAAUUCUAAUUUUAAACAGCCAAUCCGGUUCUUGGUAACAAUUACAAUUGAACGUCGAUUGGCUGUUUAAAAUUAGAAUUGUAAACAUGCAAAAAUAUGUAGGCGCGGUCGUAGACGUUUGUGAGAGUGGC
rnacentral:miRNA from 1 species